UUGAUUUGUGUGAAAAGUGAAUCCGCUCUGGCUGGGCGUUCAGCAGAGGCGCAACAGCUGCAACGCCAUCCAAUUAUUGCCGAUCCUCCCCUCCAACACUGCUCUCAUCACCUAUAUACUCUUCUCUCUGCCCGUCUCUGCUUCCCCCCCCUUCCCCCCCCCCUUUUCUCCCGGCCGACGGAGCUGAAGGGGCGGGGGUUCCUUCCUUGGAGUGUUUCUAGAGCUCGGAGGCUGCUGGUAGGGGGGCACCACUUUCAGAUAAAAACAUAGACCUGAAUGGCAUCAUCCAGUAUCCAAGGAAACCAUGUUCUCUAAACAUGAAUAUGCCUUUGGGGGAAGACAGAAGAACAUGGAAGCCAUGUGAAAAAAACGGAUCCUAAGGCAGUUUUGAACAUCUGGAGGCCUGAUUUAUUGGAGAUUGCAAAUGUACAGUGUAACAUAGCUGUGGAGAGCGAGAAGAUCAGGAUUGUCAAUGCUGUCAUUGCUUUUACUGGAAUCCCCAGCACGAAUUGAAGGUUUGACCAGAGACAAAGAAGCAAAUGCUAUCAAUUAACAUUCACAUGUGGUAGGUCUCACUUUGCCACCUAGGCUGGAUGCAAUGCAACGGUAUGUUGAUCUUGGUUCACUGCAGCCUCAACCUCCUGAGCUCAUGUGAUCCUCCCACCUCAGUCCCCCACGUCGCUUGGAUUACAGGCCUGUGCCACCACACCUGGCUAACUUUUUUUGUAAUUUUUGUAGAGACAGGGUCUCACUAUGUUUCCCAUGCUGGUCUUUAAUGCCUGAGCUCAAGCCAUCCGCCUGCCUCGGCCUCCCAAAUUGCUGGGAUUACAGGCAUGAGCCACCAUGCCCAGCCUAAUUCUUCUAAAUCUUAUCCUAGUAAUUAAGCCAGAAUUUUUCUCUGCCAAGACCAAUAGAUGGACCAAGAAGUACUCAUCCUUGUAAACUUUCUUUGGAUAAAUUGCUUACAUAUAAUAAAUUCAGAGUUAAGUAAUAAAAAUAA
rnacentral:lncRNA from 1 species